rnacentral:rRNA from 1 species
AUUGAACGCUGGCGGAGUGCUUUACACAUGCAAGUCGAGCGGCAGCGCGGGGCAACCUGGCGGCGGGCGGCGAACGGGUGAGUAAUACCUCGGAACGUACACAGUUGUGGGGGAUAGCCCGGCGAAAGCCGGAUUAAUACCGCAUACGACCUGAGGGGGAAAGGGGGGGAUCGCAACACCUCUCGCAGUUGGAGCGGCCGAGGGCGGAUUAGCUAGUUGGUAGGGUAAAGGCCUACCAAGGCGACGAUCCGUAGCGGGUCUGAGAGAACGACCCGCCACACUGGAACUGAGACACGGUCCAGACUCCUACGGGAGGCAGCAGUGGGGAAUUUUGGACAAUGGGGGCAACCCUGAUCCAGCCAUUCCGCGUGAGUGAAGAAGGCCUUCGGGUUGUAAAGCUCUUUCGGCAGGAACGAAACGGUUCUUUCUAAUAGAGAGGGCUAAUGACGGUACCUGAAGAAGAAGCACCGGCUAACUACGUGCCAGCAGCCGCCGUAA